GAUGAACGCUGGCGGCGUGCCUAAUACAUGCAAGUCGAACGAACGGUCGAGAAGCUUGCGCUUCUGAUGUUUGCGGCGGACGGGUGAGUAACAUGUGGAUCACCCACCUAUAAGACUGGGAUGACUUCGGGAAACCGUAGCUAAUACGGGAUAAUAUCUUGCACCGCAUGGUUCAUAAGUGAAUGACGGUCUUGCUGUCUCUUAUAGAUGGAUCCGCGCUGCAUUAGCUAGUUGGUAAGGUCACGGCUUCUCAAGGCAACGAUGCAUAGCCGACCUGCGAGGGUGGUCGGCCGCACGGGAGCGGGGACACGCACCGGGCUCCUGCGGGUGGCACCCAUAUGACAUGUUCCGGACUGGUCGCAAUUCUGACAGAGCUAGCCCAAGUCAGCGAUGAACGUGUUGAGUGCGUGAAGCUCUGUUAUUGGGAAAGAACAUCUGUAUAAGUAGAUGCAGACAUCCUGACGGUACCCAAUCAGGAAGCCACGGCUAACUACGUG
rnacentral:rRNA from 1 species